GUCGAGCGCACAGGUUUACCUGUGAGCGGCAGACGGGUGAGUAACGCGUGGGAAUCUACCUUAAGCUGCGGAAUAACAGAGAGAAAUUUCUGCUAAUGCCGCAUGUGCCCGGAAGGGGAAAGAUUUAUCGGCUUAAGAUGAGCCCGCGUUGGAUUAGCUGGUUGGUGGGGUAAAGGCCUACCAAGGCGACGAUCCAUAGCUGGUCUGAGAGGAUGAUCAGCCACACUGGGACUGAGACACGGCCCAGACUCCUACGGGAGGCAGCAGUGGGGAAUAUUGGACAAUGGGCGCAAGCCUGAUCCAGCCAUGCCGCGUGAGUGAUGAAGGCCUUAGGGUUGUAAAGCUCUUUCACCGGGGAAGAUAAUGACGGUACCCGGAGAAGAAGCCCCGGCUAACUUCGUGCCAGCAGCCGCGGUAAUACGAAGGGGGCUAGCGUUGUUCGGAAUUACUGGGCGUAAAGAGCGCGUAGGCGGAAAAGUAAGUCAGGGGUGAAAUCCCGGGGCUCAACCCCGGAAUUGCCUUUGAUACUGUUUUUCUUGAGUGCAGAAGAGGUAAGUGGAAUUCCGAGUGUAGAGGUGAAAUUCGUAGAUAUUCGGAAGAACACCGGUGGCGAAGGCGGCUUACUGGUCUGCAACUGACGCUGAGGCGCGAAAGCGUGGGGAGCAAGCAGGAUUAGAUACCCUGGUAGUCCACGCUGUAAACGAUGGAAGCCAGCUAUUGGGCAGUUUACUGCUCGGCAGCGCAGCUAACGCAUUAAGCUUCCCGCCU
rnacentral:rRNA from 2 species